rnacentral:tRNA from 1 species
GGGCCUGCUCAGCUGGGAGAGCGCCUGCCUUGCACGCAGGAGUGUUCAGCGGGUUCGAUCCCGCUAGGUCCA